rnacentral:rRNA from 1 species
GAUGAACGCUGGCGGCGUGCCUAAUACAUGCAAGUCGAGCGAACGGACGAGAAGCUUGCUUCUCUGAUGUUAGCGGCGGACGGGUGAGUAACACGUGGAUAACCUACCUAUAAGACUGGGAUAACUUCGGGAAACCGGAGCUAAUACCGGAUAAUACUUUGAACCGCAUGGUUCAAAAGUGAAAGACGGUCUUGCUGUCACUUAUAGAUGGAUCCGCGCUGCAUUAGCUAGUUGGUAAGGUAACGGCUUACCAAGGCAACGAUGCAUAGCCGACCUGAGAGGGUGAUCGGCCACACUGGAACUGAGACACGGUCCAGACUCCUACGGGAGGCAGCAGUAGGGAAUCUUCCGCAAUGGGCGAAAGCCCGACGGAGCAACGCCGCGUGAGUGAUGAAGGUCUUCGGAUCGUAAAACUCUGUUAUCAGGGAAGAACAUAUGUGUAAGUAACUGUGCACAUCUUGACGGUACCUAAUCAGAAAGCCACGGCUAACUACGUGCCAGCAGCCGCGGUAAUACGUAGGUGGCAAGCGUUAUCCGGAAUUAUUGGGCGUAAAGCGCGCGUAGGCGGUUUUUUAAGUCUGAUGUGAAAGCCCACGGCUCAACCGUGGAGGGUCAUUGGAAACUGGAAAACUUGAGUGCAGAAGAGGAAAGUGGAAUUCCAUGUGUAGCGGUGAAAUGCGCAGAGAUAUGGAGGAACACCAGUGGCGAAGGCGACUUUCUGGUCUGUAACUGACGCUGAUGUGCGAAAGCGUGGGGAUCAAACAGGAUUAGAUACCCUGGUAGUCCACGCCGUAAACGAUGAGUGCUAAGUGUUAGGGGGUUUCCGCCCCUUAGUGCUGCAGCUAACGCAUUAAGCACUCCGCCUGGGGAGUACGACCGCAAGGUUGAAACUCAAAGGAAUUGACGGGGACCCGCACAAGCGGUGGAGCAUGUGGUUUAAUUCGAAGCAACGCGAAGAACCUUACCAAAUCUUGACAUCCUUUGACAACUCUAGAGAUAGAGCUUUCCCCUUCGGGGGACAAAGUGACAGGUGGUGCAUGGUUGUCGUCAGCUCGUGUCGUGAGAUGUUGGGUUAAGUCCCGCAACGAGCGCAACCCUUAAGCUUAGUUGCCAUCAUUAAGUUGGGCACUCUAAGUUGACUGCCGGUGACAAACCGGAGGAAGGUGGGGAUGACGUCAAAUCAUCAUGCCCCUUAUGAUUUGGGCUACACACGUGCUACAAUGGACAAUACAAAGGGCAGCGAAACCGCGAGGUCAAGCAAAUCCCAUAAAGUUGUUCUCAGUUCGGAUUGUAGUCUGCAACUCGACUACAUGAAGCUGGAAUCGCUAGUAGUCGUAGAUCAGCAUGCUACGGUGAAUACGUUCCCGGGUCU